rnacentral:lncRNA from 1 species
GCAAGAGGAAAUAGUGGCUAUUGGCCGGUUGACCCGACCAUUUUUUCAAAGAGGCCUUUGACCAAUAAAAAAAUGAAAAAAUGUUUAAAAUCUUGAAAAAAAAAACUCAAAUUUACCCUUACCAUUUCAAGAAGAGAGAGAAGAUAGUAAGGAAAGAGAAAAAUUACUGUAGCACCAUCGACUCAGGUAUCGACAAAAAAGGAAAAAUCGACGACCCAGUUGGCCAUUUCUCUUUGAAGAAGGUAAGCUUUUAAUUUAGUAGAAAAGUAUGUUUUUAUGUUGAUUUUUGGGAAAAAAAAUGAUUUUAUGUACAUGUGUUGAGGAUUCCUUGUGUUUAUGGUUUAAAUGUGGA